GUGCCAGCAGCCGCGGUAAUACGAGUGCGUCGAGCGUUAUCCGGAAUCAUUGGGCGUAAAGGGUGUGUAGGCGGCGCUGUUAGUCUUCCGUUAAAUCUUUCGGCUCAACCGAGAGGCCGCGGGGGAAACGGCAGUGCUUGAGGACGGAAGAGGUCUCUGGAACUCUAGGUGUAGCGGUGAAAUGCGUUGAUAUCUAGGGGAACACCAAAAGCGAAGGCAAGAGACUGGUCCGCUCCUGACGCUGAAACACGAAAGCGUGGGGCGCGAAUGGGAUUAGAUACCCCAGUAGUCC
rnacentral:rRNA from 1 species